GUUGUAUGGUUAAGUGACUAAGCGUACACGGUGGAUGCCUUGGCAGUCAGAGGCGAUGAAAGACGUAAUAACUUGCGAUAAGCCCAGAUUAGGUAGUAAUAACCUUUUGAGUCUGGGAUUUCUGAAUGGGGAAACCCACGUGCAUAAGCACGUAUCCUGUUGUGAAUACAUAGCAGCAGGAGGCAAACCGGGGGAACUGAAACAUCUAAGUACCCCGAGGAAGAGAAAUCAACCGAGAUUCCGAAAGUAGCGGCGAGCGAACGGGGAGCAGCCCAGAGCCUGAAUCAGUGUGUGUGUUAGUGGAAGCGUCUGGAAAGGCGCGCGAUACAGGGUGACAGCCCCGUACACAAAAAUGCACAUACUGUGAGCUCGAUGAGUAGGGCGGGACACGUGAUAUCCUGUCUGAAUAUGGGGGGACCAUCCUCCAAGGCUAAAUACUCCUGACUGACCGAUAGUGAACCAGUACCGUGAGGGAAAGGCGAAAAGAACCCCUGUGAGGGGAGUGAAAUAGAACCUGAAACCGUGUACGUACAAGCAGUAGGAGCACCUUCGUGGUGUGACUGCGUACCUUUUGUAUAAUGGGUCAGCGACUUAAUUUUAGUAGCAAGGUUAACCGUUUAGGGGAGCCGUAGGGAAACCGAGUCUUAACUGGGCGUACAGUUGCUAGGAUUAGACCCGAAACCAGGUGAUCUAGCCAUGGGCAGGUUGAAGGUUGAGUAACAUCAACUGGAGGACCGAACCGACUAAUGUUGAAAAAUUAGCGGAUGACUUGUGGCUAGGGGUGAAAGGCCAAUCAAACCUGGAGAUAGCUGGUUCUCCCCGAAAGCUAUUUAGGUAGCGCCUCGGACGAAUACUACUGGGGGUAGAGCACUGUUAAGGCUAGGGGGUCAUCCCGACUUACCAACCCUUUGCAAACUCCGAAUACCAGUAAGUACUAUCCGGGAGACACACGGCGGGUGCUAACGUCCGUCGUGGAGAGGGAAACAACCCAGACCGCCAGCUAAGGUCCCAAAUUACUACUAAGUGGGAAACGAUGUGGGAAGGCUCAGACAGCCAGGAUGUUGGCUUAGAAGCAGCCAUCAUUUAAAGAAAGCGUAAUAGCUCACUGGUCGAGUCGGCCUGCGCGGAAGAUGUAACGGGGCUAAGCUAUACACCGAAGCUGCGGCUACGUACCUUAGGGUGCGUGGGGUAGGGGAGCGUUCUGUAAGCCUGCGAAGGUGUACUGUGAGGUAUGCUGGAGGUAUCAGAAGUGCGAAUGCUGACAUGAGUAACGAUAAAGGGGGUGAAAAACCCCCUCGCCGGAAGACCAAGGGUUCCUGUCCAACGUUAAUCGGGGCAGGGUGAGUCGACCCCUAAGGCGAGGCCGAAAGGCGUAGUCGAUGGGAAACAGGUUAAUAUUCCUGUACUUGGUGUUACUGCGAAGGGGGGACGGAGAAGGCUAUGUUGGCCGGGCGACGGUUGUCCCGGUUUAAGCGUGUAGGCUGGUUUUCCAGGCAAAUCCGGAAAAUCAAGGAUGAGGCGUGAUGACGAGGCACUACGGUGCUGAAGCAACAAAUGCCAUGCUUCCAGGAAAAGCCUCUAAGCUUCAGAUUGUAAGGAAUCGUACCCCAAACCGACACAGGUGGUCGGGUAGAGAAUACCAAGGCGCUUGAGAGAACUCGGGUGAAGGAACUAGGCAAAAUGGUACCGUAACUUCGGGAGAAGGUACGCUGAUAUGUAGGUGAAGUCCCUCGCGGAUGGAGCUGAAAUCAGUCGAAGAUACCAGCUGGCUGCAACUGUUUAUUAAAAACACAGCACUGUGCAAACACGAAAGUGGACGUAUACGGUGUGACGCCUGCCCGGUGCCGGAAGGUUAAUUGAUGGGGUUAGCGGUAAGCGAAGCUCUUGAUCGAAGCCCCGGUAAACGGCGGCCGUAACUAUAACGGUCCUAAGG
rnacentral:rRNA from 1 species